UGCCCACUAAGAAGCCUGGAAGCGAUUCCUUUGCCUACCGUAGUCUUGAGCUCCUCCGUGUUCCUCGAUGGCAUCUUGUCCUCGUGUUGUUUUAUCAUUAUGUGACCGGUCCUGCCUCGUGUGGCAUAGCCACCCUUCUAUCCCCCAGCCCCCACCCUUCGUUUAGACUGUGAGCCCCCUGAGAGCCAGGGAUUAUCCUCUAUUGUAUUUUUCUUCAGUUCUAAGGAUAGUGCUCUGCCAGUGUGCCUUGUCACCAGCUUGACCUGAACCCCCGGGUCCGCCUGGGAUGGGGGAGUGGAGCGAGCGAUGGGAUCUGGGGGACCGGACCCUGUCGCUGGGGCCCUGAGAAGUCAAAUGGCUGAAUUUGGAACCCUCCUCCCCACUUGCUGGCAGGAAGGGCGUUGAAGACGACCCAGAAAGACAAUGAAGUGGCGGGGACUGUGACGAGUGGCCGAGUUUGUGGAGAGUGCACCUGUGCCCUGGGUGUGCGUGUGUGUUUGUGUGCGCUUGUGUGUACGCGUGCCCCAUCCAGCUUCAUUCCUUCGCUUCCUCCCUCCUGCUCCGUUGCUUCCCGGUGACGCCACCCCGAGCCCACCCCCAGCCCG